AGAGUUUGAUCCUGGCUCAGGAUGAACGCUGGCGGCGUGCUUAACACAUGCAAGUCACGGGGGCCAGCAAUGGCAACCGGCGAACGGGUGCGUAACACGUGAGCAACCUACCGAAAUGAGGGGGAUAGCCGGCCCAACGGCCGGGUAAUACCGCAUACGCUCGAGACCAGGCAUUUGGACUCGAGGAAACCUCCGGGGCAUUUCGAGGGGCUCGCGGCCUAUCAGCUAGUUGGUGAGGUAACGGCUCACCAAGGCGACGACGGGUAGCUGGUCUGAGAGGAUGGCCAGCCACAUUGGGACUGAGAUACGGCCCAGACUCCUACGGGAGGCAGCAGUGGGGAAUCUUGCGCAAUGGCCUAACGGCUGACGCAGCGACGCCGCGUGAGGGAUGACGCUCUUCGGAGUGUAAACCUCUUUUGCCCGGGACGAAUUGCCAACUUCAGUUGGCUGACGUACCGGGAAUAGCCCCAU
rnacentral:rRNA from 1 species